rnacentral:rRNA from 1 species
GAUGAACGCUAGCGACAGGCUUAACACAUGCAAGUCGAGGGGCAGCGCGGAGGUAGCAAUACCACUGGCGGCGACCGGCGCACUGGUGAGUAACACGUAUGCAACCUGCCCCAAUCCGGGGGAUAAGCUCGAGAAAUUGGGUCUAAUACCCCAUAUGCUGACUGAUCACAUGGUUUGUCAGUGAAAGAUUUAUCAGAUUGGGAUGGGCAUGCGGCGCAUUAGCUAGUUGGCGGGGUAACGGCCCACCAAGGCGACGAUGCGUAGGGGUUCUGAGAGGAAGGUCCCCCACAUUGGUACUGAGACACGGACCAAACUCCUACGGGAGGCAGCAGUGAGGAAUAUUGGUCAAUGGACGAGAGUCUGAACCAGCCAAGUCGCGUGAGGGAGGAAGGUCCUAUGGAUUGUAAAACCUCUCUUUGCUCGGGGAAGUAACCAAGCGGGACGUGUUCCGCGCCUGAGAGAAUACCCGGAGAAAAAGCAUUCGGUCUAACUCCGUGCCAGCAGCCGCCGGUAAUACGGAGGAUGCGUAGCGUUAUCCGGAUUUAUUGGGUUUAAAGGGUGCGCAGGCGGCGUGUUCAAGUCACCGGUCAAAGUAGCGGAGCUCACUCCGUAUCGCCGUUGAAACUGGUUUGCUAGAGUGCGUGCGAGGAAGGCGGGAAUGCGUGGUGUAGCGGUGAAAUGCAUAGAUAUCACGCAGAACUCCGAUUGCGAAGGCAGCUUUCCAGCACGCUACUGACGCUCAUGCACGGAAAGCGUGGGGAUCGAACAAGAUUAGAUACCCCUGGAAGUCCACGCGGUAAAACGAUGAUUUACUAGAUAUUCGGGCCGAUUAGGGGCCUGUGUGUCACCAGCGAAAAGCGUUAAGUAAUCCACCUGGGGAGUACGCCGGCAACGGUGAAACUCAAGAGGUAAUUGACGGGGGGCCCGCACACAGCGGAGAAACAUGUGGUUUAAUUUGAUGAUGCGCGAGGAACCUUACCCGGGCUCAAACGCCAAGAGACGUAAUCUGAAAGGGUUAUUUCCGCAAGGACUGUUAGCGAGGUGCUGCAUGGUUGUUGUCAGCUCGUGCCGUGAGGUGUUGGCUUAAGUGCCAUAACGAGCGCAACCCCCAUUUUCAAUUGCCAUCGGGUGAUGCCGGGCACUCUGGAGAGACUGCCGGCGCAAGCUGUGAGGAAGGCGGGGAUGACGUCAAAUCAGCACGGCCCUUACGUCCGGGGCGACACACGUGUUACAAUGGCGGGGCACAGAAGGAAGCCAGGCGGCGACGCCGAGCCGAUCCCGAAAACCCGUCUCAGUUCGGAUCGGAGUCUGCAACUCGACUCCGUGAAGCUGGAUUCGCUAGUAAUCGCGCAUCAGCCAUGGCGCGGUGAAUACGUUCCCGGGCCU